ACCUAGCUGACAAGUCUCAAAUAGAACGAAACGUGUGUCCUAGAU
rnacentral:hammerhead_ribozyme from 1 species